ensembl:snRNA U6 U6 spliceosomal RNA
GUGUUUGCUUCUGCACCAUAUAUACUAAAAAUUGGAAGGAUACAGAGAAGAUUAGCAAGGCCUCUGAGCAAGGAUAACACGCAAAUUCGUGAAGCGUUCCAUAUUUUA